UCUGUGGGCUUUGUGUACUCAUGUUCUCUCUCUUUUCCUUUGUAGGCAAUUUAUAGCAUUGAUCUACAGUGAUCUGUACUGAUCUAAAGCGCUGAUCUACACUGAUCUAGACUGAUCUCGCUGACUUCAAUGUGAAGGUACACAGUUGGAAGAGCUGUCCCGUGAGCAGCUGAGGCGAGGAGAAGCCAGAGGUAGAAUUGGGAAGGACUUGAAUGAGUGGGUCUAUUUCCAUGGCUUUAGCUGCUUCAGAGACCCAGCAGUAUAGGCUCGGUUCAACAUUCGGCAGAAACUACUACUAUGGCUGGAUUCUGGUCCAACAAGUUGCCACGAACCCAGCUGUGGAUGGGAUCUUCCACACUCUCGCAUCAGCGUACCUGUCUGGCCUUAGCUCCUUUUUUUUUCCUCUCCCUCUCCCUAGGUUAAUCUCAUAUAAUUAUGUGUGUACAUGUCUGAGGGCAGGGACUAUGCCUUAUUCAUCUUUGUAUUAUUCAAGAGCCUGGCCCAGAGUGGUUGCUUAAGAAAUGGGUAUUAGAGAUAUUUACAUGUGCGCUAGAAAUUCUCGUUCAGAUUCCUGUAUUUGGACAACGGGCGUUCAGCUUUCUGGAUAGGAUAAAAUGGAAUCUAUGGGCUUUAGGUACAUAGUGGCAUUUAAGGGCUGCUAUGCGAGUUCAGAAUACCCCAUGACUGUCCAGUAUUAACCUCACUUCUGUCAGUAGCCAUGUCUCAAUGCUAGGUGACUCUUAGCCUGACAUGUUUUGGCAAGAAAGGACUCUCUACCUGGUUUGCCUAAUCUACCCUGGCUUCUAGUUUCAACAAGAAUUAUUUACAUGCAUUUAAUUUUAGCUCUUGGGCUAGAACAUGUCAUUGUUCUUUUUACUCACCUCCUCCCCUCGCUUUUGGAAUCAGGACAGGCAUCUUCAGUUCUCGUUGUUCCUGUUUGGUGUGCUCCUAGAUGGAUUUUAGCUCUGUCCUUCAGCUCUCAUGGCACUCCAAGAUAUUUUUGAGUCAUGUUUCCUUUUAUAAGAAAAUAUAGACUAUGUCAAUACAAAGGGAAAUGGAGCUUGGUGGGAAUUCUUUAAAUCAUCCAGGGACCUCAUAUCCUGGCUUGAAGGAAAAUUAAAGCAAUGAAUUUGGAUUCAUUUAUCUCCUCGGAUAGUUCUUCUCUAGUCAACUGACCGGAUAAUGCAUUUAGCUCUUAUUCAAUUUUAUCUCUUACUGUCACGGGGAAUCUAGAAGAAAAAAUAUAGCUGAGGCUUAGUUUUGAAGAAGUCAUUGUUAAUAGAAUUUUAUUUUUUCCCAUAUUAAGAAGAGAAUGAACAUCCUAGGAAAAUAAUAAUGAGCUUGGGGCAAAGCAAUGUUUUGCUGAGUACACCAUGAAAUGGAAAGUCCUCACAGCAAGCUUGCAGAAGUGCUCUGAGGAGUCUCUUGCACAACUCUGUUUCUUUAUAGUACUUACACAAUCACAUUUCUUUUUUUUUUUUAAAGAUUUUAUUUAUUUAUUUGACAGACAGAGAUCACAAGUAGGCAGAGAGGCAGGCAGAGAGAGAGGAGGAAGCAGGCUCCCUGCUGAGCAGAGAGCCCGAUGCGGGCUCGAUCGCAGGACCCUGGGAUCAUGAUCUGAGCCGGAGACAGAGGCUUAACCCACUGAGCCACCCAGGCGCCCCAUAUUUCUUAAUGACUUUCUAUAAACAAUUUUUUUGACAAGAAGCAUACAGUCGUAAAAAUAAAGAGAUAACUUUGGCAGAAAGACAUUAAUGGUUUCUUACUUCUAGACUAUGACAGACAUAAAGUUAUAGAUUUCUCUAGUACAGUUUUCCUAUCAAUUGUGGCAGACACAGGAAAUGCAACACACGGUAGGAGGUAUCAGUUCGCCACCUAGAGGAGGUAUAUAGAAUUCCAUAUUUCUCCAAACAGCUUUAGUGGGAUUGAUUCAUUCAUUUAUUCAUUCACUCACUCAUUCAUUCAUUAAAUUAUGUACUUAUUUAAUUAUUUAAAAACAAUUAAAUACUUAUUAGGCUUAGUUUUGUACCAGUGCAAAUUUGAUAAUCUAACCAAGUGCUAUGAGCUCAAAGAAAGCAUUAAAUGUAUCUCCUUUUACUUGCACAGUUGCUUCUAUUUAUUUAUUUGAAGAUUUAUUUAUCUGUUUUAGAGAGAGCAGAGUGGGAGGAGGGAGGAGAAGGAGAGGGUGAGGGAGAGAGAAUCUUAAGCAGACUCCCUGCUGAGUGUGGAGCCCGACACGGGGCUCAAUCUCACAAUCCUGAGAUCAUGACCCGAGGUGAAAUUGAGAGUCAGGCACUUAACUGACUGAGCCAUCCAAGUGCCCCGCAGCUGCCUCUCCUUAAACUCUUUUAUUUUUAAAAGACUGUAACUCAAAUAUCUGGACAAUUCUAAAUAUAUUUCUGAUGUCUAUUACUUUCAGCUCUUGAGCUAUAAUAAAGCCUGUUUUUGUUUGUUUGUUUGUUUGUUUUUAAUUUGUUCCACCCAUUUGCAGUGUAGCUAUUCAGGUCUUCUCUAUACCAAUUGGGAAAUGGAGUCUCGGGGAAAUUAAAUAACAAGUUUCAGGGGUCACAACUACUUCAUGAUAGUGCCAAUGUCUGGACCUAUACCAGUCUAGCCCCAGAGCCAUCACCCUGCUCAGAUCUGGUCUAGUAGCGAUGCUCACUAACAGCCAGCCUGCAGGUCGGGGUGUGGACAGUGCUUACAGGUUGAAAGGAGAUCAUGGCCAGUAGCACCAUAAAGUAUAAAGUAGGCUUGGGAAGAGCUUGAUGAAGCCAUCCAAC
rnacentral:lncRNA from 1 species